rnacentral:sRNA from 1 species
UUUUCUUAUUUAUACUCAUAUUGUAGAUUAACCAUUUAGUAUCAAGACCUUAUGGAUUAAUUACCUGCUUAUGUCCUUCCAAUUUAUAUCUCUAGGUAAUACUUCUCUGAACUGUAGAAUCAUCCACACAAAUGCCCACAUCCAACUCACUAUCCAAAUCUGAACAUAAGAUUUCCAUCUGCUUUCACUAAAUAUCCAGUCUCAAAGUAAUUGGGCAUUAAAAUUGUAAUCUUCAAACACUAUAUCUAUACUACUUCCUCUUCUAAAACAACACUGUAAUCAUAUUAUACCUAAUUAAUAGACAUUUUCCCUGAGACUGGCAAGGUCCUCCUGUGUAGCUUAGGCUGGCAUUGAAUCGGUGGCAAUCCUUCUGUCUCUGCUUCCUACAUGCUGAGUUAAUAGGCAUUGAACAUCAUACCCAUAAUUUCUUUUGAAGAAUGUAUCAAGUAUUUAGCAUAGUACCUGACACGCAGAAAGUCAGUGCCUCUUAUCACCGUAUGGUUCCUAUCUAGUUCUUAAUUCUUCAUCUUUUAAAAACAAAACAAAACAAAGUCUUACAAUAAUAACCCUAAAGUUUACACCCAAGUAAGAGGAUUGAGCCAGACUGACUCUAGGACAGGCUGCAAGGGGCCAGUUUUGGAGACUAGGUCUAAGUUUCUGUUUCCCAGAAUCUAACAAACCAGUCCAGGAAAAAACACAGCCCUGUCAUCUGGCUGAGCUAAGAAUAUUUACUCACCAAUGGUUCUGGAAAGUUCCCAACCCCCAGCAAUGAUUCUGGAAAGCCCCCAGAACUCUAGCCAAUCCUAGAAUUAUGCUUACCCCUAGAGAUAGAGCCAAUCAAACCCCUGGAACUCCCCUAAUCAGCUCUAAAUUAAGCCUAUGAGCUCAUCUCAAGGUUGCCAUUGUGAUGAAUGAUAUAGACCCCCUGCAUGUUGGAUUUCUGCAGAUAAACGCUUUUAGCUUUUGCACAUUAUUUGAGUCUUGAGUGUUACUCUUCAAUGAUUCAUGGACCCUUAAAUUUGGGACCUAACCCAAAUAGUGGAGUGUUUUUCUGAUUGGUAAGUUCGGGGACCUCAGCAUCUUGUUAGUCUCUGUGUUUCUGUUUUGGGUUCAAUCUAGAGGCCAAGGAGGACAAAAUGGAUGCAUAUUUGGCACUGGCCAGGGGAUAAAGAGGAUGCUUCCAACUCCCUACCAGGAAAGGGAGAAUUUGAUAGUUCUCAUCUGAUUUCUGAACCGGGUGUGGGUCUUUGCGUCUCCAGUACACAGGGAGGAGGACCGAUUGAGACUGUCUUUUUGUUUUUCCUGUAACGUCUUUCUGUACUUGUCUGUGCAUAUUCUCUUCAUGCUUUCUGUCCUCUUGUGCAAAUUACUUUUUGAGUCCUAAAAUGGGUCAGACAUAGACCAUGCCCUUGGGGUUCAUAUUGAACCAUUUCAAGGAUUUCUGCUGAGUAACAGAAGACUCGGGUAUGGUGAUUCAUCCUGGCAAAUUAAACUUUUGCAGGAAUAAAUGGUACACCUUCAAGAUAAGAUGGCUUGAGGAGGGAACUUCCCAUCUCCCCACUAUUUACAGGGUGAAGACUUAUUGUCUAUGGACUCCCAGACCAGGUAACAUAUAUCACUAUGUGGCAAUACCUGAUCGAGAAGCCCCUGCCUGGCUGAAACACUUUAUGUCACCAGCUGUGCCACUCCCAGCCCUCCUUCUUGUGAGGGAGGGCCAGCCUUGGCCACCUGCCUUGCUUCCUCCCUAUGCCUCCAAGGAAGAUUUCUGCCCUCUUUUUUAUGUUCUUGCCCCUGCAGCUGUUUCUCCUGCCUAACUAGUGCAGGCAUAAAGGAUGGAAACUCCUGACUCCAUCUGGAGUCCACCUCACACUAGAACCUGUACUUUUGGGAGGGGUGACUCUACCAUAGCCCCAACCCCUCUGACCAAUGGGACCCCUAGACACUCAAGGAAGAUGAUUUAUGACAUGUUUGCAAUUUGCCAGUAAUAACUUAAACAAUUUGAAGUUGCAGAAUCCCCCAUUUUUAGAGAGGUCAUCAUCUCUCAUAGUUCUCUUAGAGUCAAUCAUGCUGACUGUUUCAGGUAUUCUUAACUACUGAAGAAAUGUAACAGAUCUUGGGAGCCACCUGGAAAUUGGUUCUGGGAGCAAAUAGGCUGUCCACCCAUAUCCAGGCUGAUAUUGAUGUGGGCUUCUUUUUGGCUUAGCCCGACUGAGAUUAUAUCUCUGCUGAAGGUAAGGAAAGCCUCUGGGCCUACUGCCAGACUCUGAUGGGGGGCCUCUGGAAAGCCACCAGGUGGCUCACAAAUGCAUUCCAGGUAAGCCAGGUGAUGCAGGGAAAGAAUGAAAGUCCUAGAAAAUACCUAGGGAGACUUUUAAAAGCCUAUAGGACCUAUCCCCCUUAGACUCAGAGGCCAGAGAGAACCAAUUGGUUCUGAACAUGGCUUUUGUUAACCAAGCUGCCCCUGACAUGUCAGAAACCUUAGUGCCUAGAUGGCUUUGUGUGUAUGCAGCUAACUGAAUUAGUAGUUAUAGCUGAGGUUUUCAACAACUCAGUGACCUCUGAGGAUCAACAGACCAGAGGAGUGGCGAAAGUGCUGCUUGCUGCUAUGAACCGUGGCUGUCCCGGUGAAAGAAAGCUGCAAAAAUCUGGUUUACAGAAGGGGCAGAGUCAAGAAGCCUACUUCCUAUGACUAUUGACCCAUGCAGGAUUUGAGGGAAGUAAAGACAUGGGUAGCGGACAUCCAUCCCACAGUUUCAAACUUAUACACCUUGGUGAGCAGCCUCCCUCCCAAGCACACUGUGUACACUGUGUUCGACUUGAAGAAUGCCUUCUUCUUCUUGUAUCUGGCACCCAAAAGCCAGUACCUAUUUGCCUUCAAAUGGCAAGACUUGGAGAGAGGCUUCAGUGAACAACUGACUUGGAUGUAUCUGCCUCAAGAAUUCAAGAACUCAUCCACAGUCUUUGACAAGGCAUUAUAUGAGUACUGGGAUGAGAAUCGGUGGGUUCACCCUCAAAUAACUUUACUCCAGUACAUAGAUGAUCUCUUAAUUGUGGCCACCCACCUGGAGACAUGCUAGGAGGCCACACAAGACCUGCUACAAGAACUGAGACAACUGGGUUACCAAUUGUCUGCUAAGAAGGCCCAAUUUUGCCAACUUGAAAUCACCCAACUGGGGUACAUACUCAAGGAUGUGAGGGUAAUACAUGCAGUUGGAUGGCCAGAAGCAAAUCCCCAGCAUCCCAGUUCCAUCAACCCAGAGGCAAAUAUGAGAAUUUCUGGGACCCACUAAGUAUUGUAGUUUCUGGGUGCUAGGGUUCACUGAGAUAGCAAAGCCAUUAUAUGAGGCUACCAGGGGCCAAGAAGAUAAGGUGGAAUGGACCUCCAAGAUUCAAAUGGCUUUUAAGAUCCCAAGAAAAGCCUUAUUGGAGGCAAUGGCCCUGACCUUCCUGGACAUUCACAAACCUUUCUACCUAUAUGUGGAUGAAAGAAAUGGAAUAGCAGAAGGCUUGCUCACACAAACUUUGGGCCCAUAGAUAAGAGUAGUGGCCUAUUUACCUAAAAAGCUGAAUCUGGUGGCCCAUCGCCUAGCUGGUCAAGGAUGCUGACAAAAUAACCAUGGGUCAGGAAUGUGUCACCACUCCCUACACUAUGGAGGGGACCCUCAAGAAUCUAUCCAGUCAAUGGCUGUCCAAUGCUAGACCGAUACACUUCCAGGCUCUGCUUUUGAAUCCCCCUCACAUAAGAUAUAACUCAUUGUCUGCACUAAAUGCAGCCACCCUGCUAUUGGACCAAUCCUCAGACACAACAAUGAUUGCUAUAUAAGUUUUGGCUCAUGUUCCAAGUAUUAGGCCAGACCUGACUGACAUUCUGUGGCCAGAUGCUGGGUGCAUCUAUCUCAUGAAUGGGAGCAGCUUCUGCCAGAACUGAACCAAGUAUGCUGGAGUGGCCAUAGUGGAUUUGGACUCUGUCAUCUGUGCAACUGCUUUGCUGCCAGGAACUUUAGCACAGAAAGCAGUACUAAAGGCUCUAACCUAAGGCUUUAAAACUGGUGGUGGUGGUGGUGGGGUAGCUAACAUUUAUACUGAUAACAGAUGUAUCUUUGCUACAGCUUAUGUGCAUGGGUCCAUAUACCAAGAGAGGGGGACUUCUGAUUGCAGAACGAAAAACCAUAAAAAAUAAGGAUGAAAUGCAUGCUUUACUAGAGGCUUUAUUGCUCCUUCUGCAGGUGGUGAUAAUUUAUUGCCCCUGGCAUCAAGAAGGGACAUUAGAAAUAGUCUAAGGAAAGUGACAAGUUGGUAAAGUUGCAAGGGAAGCAACCCAAGCUUCCACUACCCGUAUCCUGGUCACUCUGUCACCUGCCUCCUCCUGCAUGUCUGGCCAUUCCUCAAAUACACUGUUGAGGACACACAAGAUCAGGUCAAAUGCAAGGGACUCUGCAGAAGAAAUAGAUACCUGCAUACUUCUGAAGGCCAUGCCAUCCCACCUAAGGGAUUUGCUAAACAACUCAUCCAUUAAGUCCAUCAGGCCACACACUGGGGCCACUGAAAAUAAAAGGGAUUUCAUUGAGGGUUAAAGUACAAAAUAUUUUACUUGUGAGGCUUGGUUGAUCAGGUAAUUUUGCAUUGUCCCACCUGCCAGGCUGUGGAUCCCCCAGACCCAAAUCAAGGAACUCCAGGAAUCAGAAUUAGAGGUCAACAGCCAGAGGCUGAUUGGGAUAUAGAUUUCACAGAAGUGAAGUCAGGAACAUAUGGAUAUAAAUACCUGUUAGUUUUUAUAGAUACCUUUUCAGGAUGGUUAGAAGCAUGCCCUAUGAAGGAGUGGCAAAGAAGAUUCUGAAAGACAUCAUACACAGGUAUGGACUACCUACCCUGCUUAAAUCUAACAGUGGACCAACAUUCAUUUCUCAGGUAAAUCAGUCUUUAGUACAUGUCUUAGGGACCCAUUGCAAACUGCAUUGUACUUACAGACCCUAGAGUUCUGGACAGGUAGAGAGAAUGAAUGGAACCCUGAAGGAUUCCUUAACCAAAUUAACACUUAAACUGGCAGUGACUGGGUGUCUCUCCUAUCUUAUGUCUUAUAUAGGAGUAGGAAGAUUUCCUAUAUUUUGGGUCUCAUCCCCCAAUUGAUAUCCUAUAUGGGAGACCCCACCCAUGCUGCCUAACCUCCAAUCUGAUAUUCUAGCGAACUUUGACCAACACAGGUUCUUGGAGUCAUUGAAGGCCCUCCACAGAAUCCAGAAGUAAAUCCAGCCUGCCAUCUGCUAGGAUCAUGAAUCUGCCACUCCCCUUAAUCUCCCCACUGCUUUGAACCAGGUGAUAAAGUUUAGAUUAAUAGACAUAACUGGAGCCAUGCUGGAAAGGACCUUACACUGUAAUCCUGACCACACUAAUGGCUGUAAAGGUGGAUGGAUCUGGACGUGGGUACAUCACUCCCAUAUUAAGAGAGAGACAACCCAGCAGUUGAGGUCAGGCAGGGGGAGACAUCCACAUGGUCCACCACAAGAGCUAUGGAAGGCACAUCCACAUCCUGUCAAUCCAAUAAAACUUCAACUUCAGCACUGAUCCUAUUUGCCUGCUGCACACAGCAUGCUACACUCUCCACCAAUCCCGCAGUCUAAGCUAGAUGCUCAUAGAUAUCAGGGGAGUUGAAAUGCUUCACCAAGUCACCAAAUUAGUGCCAGAUGCCACCUCGUUCCCUAAUCUGGAGCUAUGACCGGAUGAUUUCUCUGAGUUUGGAGGCUUAGAAUGGCACCAUUGGACCAAAAUUGGCUGAUUCUAUGUCUGCUCAGGCCAUGGCCAUACCAAGGCUAGAAAGAUAAGUGUGGCAGCUCCUCUGAUUACUUUUGUGUGGCUUCAGGAUGUGAAUAUGGUGGAUUCCCCCCACCCCCACCCCAUCACCUCAGAUUUAAUCACAGUAAAUUGGAAAGGAGCAGGGACUAAGCUUGCCAACAACAGUAGGUGGGUUAUAAGGUUUACUGAAGAAGUAAAACAGAGUGUAGGAUGGAAAAUAGGAAAUUUACCAAUGUAUGGGUGGAAAAACCAUAACCUUGGAGCCAUAUUCACUAUUCAACUGAGCCAGCCUGGCUCAAGCUCCUCCUUAGGCACCAACAAGAUGUUAGGCAAGUCAAACCAACCACCUUUCAAACCUCUGCCCCAACCUGUCCCCUCCUCUGCACCAGGACCCACCACCCUCUUGCUCCCUACAAUGUCCAACUUUGUUGCCUGAUUCAGGAUCCUAUUAGAAUCCAAUUUCCAAGUCCUUAAUCCUCCUGUCCAGAUUUGACUCAGGACUGUUGAUUAUGCUUAGAUACUCAGCCCCCUUACUAGGAAGGAAUAGCAGUCCCUGGGAUUUAGUCACAGUGCACAGAAAAUGUAGAUGGCAACAAUCAGAGGAAAGCUGACCCUGCAAUCAACAAUGGGACAAGGACUCUGUACUAAAAUUAAGAUACUCUCAGACUACUCCCACCUCUGCAAUUGUACUGUAGCCCCUACCGUGGCAGGAUACCCCAGAGGAUGUUUGGUGGGCUUUACUUCCCUGAUUCUAAAUCUCACUCAAGAUUUUUGUGUUCUGGUUCAGCUUGUCUCUUGGGUGGUUUACUACACAGCUGGCACCUCCAAACAAUUAAGUAGAGUGGCCAUCUCUGCUGUGUUACUGGGCCCCCUUUUUGGCAUGGAGCUGGAUGGAACUGCUAGUGUAGGGGCCUGAGCUGUAGUACUCCAGGAUAAAAAUUACAAGGCCCUACAGGUGGCUAUCAAUGCAGAUUUAUAGGAGAUGGAAAAGUCCAUUACAGCCCUGCAAGAUUACCUUUCCUCACUGCCAGAAGUAGUUGUACAAAACAGAAAUGGCCUAGAUUUACUGUUCUUCCUUCAAGGGGGACUCUGCCUAACUUUAAAUGAAGAAUGUUGUUUCUAUGUUGACUACUCAGGGGUGGUCAAAUAAUCUAUGUUCUUAGAAAGAGAUUACAGGUUAGAAAGCUAGAAAAAGAACAAUCUCAGGGUUAGUAUGAGUUCAUCUUCAACUGGUAUCCUUUGUUAACGACCCUGAUUUCAGCCUCGACAGGAACUCUUCUUCUUUUGGCUUUGACUUUUGAGGCAUGCAUUAUUAAUACUUUAGUCAGAUUUGUUAAGGAAUGGAUUUCCACUGAUGAUUGAAAUGCCUCCAUGAAACCCAGCUGUCAGGAUGGCUGCACCCUGUUCAAUUACAACAUCCAGAAAGAGUACACCUUGCACCUAGGUCUGCAUCUGCGUGAUGGCAUCAUCAAACAGUCCCUUCGUCAGCUUGCACAGAAGUACAACUAUGACAAGAUGAUUUACCGUAAGUGCUAUGCAUGCUUGCACCCCUGUGCAGUCAACUGCCAUAAGAAAUGAGGCCACACCAACAACCUGUGCCCCAAGAAGAAGGUCAAAUAAAGCUGGGGCCAUACCUGGCCUGUGAUCCCUGGACCAAAUAAAAGUCCCCUUCCAUCGACUGGAGCAGUAAAAAAAAAA